rnacentral:rRNA from 1 species
GACGGAGGAUGCAAGCGUUAUCCGGAAUGAUUGGGCGUAAAGCGUCCGCAGGUGGCAGUUCAAGUCUGCUGUCAAAGACCGGGGCUUAACUUCGGAAAGGCAGUGGAAACUGAACAGCUAGAGUAUGGUAGGGGCAGAGGGAAUUCCUGGUGUAGAGGUGAAAUUCGUAGAUAUCGAGAGGAACACCGGUGGCGAAGGCGGCCUUCUGGACAGUGACUGACGCUGAGACGCGAAAGCGUGGGGAGCAAACAGG